AACGCACAUUGCGCCCCUUGGUAUUCCGAGGGGCAUGCCUGUUCGAGCGUCAUAUAACCAAUCAAGCCUGGCUUGGUAUUAGGGUACGCCUUCUGGCGGCCUCUAAACACAGUGGCGGUGCCGUUCGGCUCUCGGCGUAGUAAUUAUUCUCGCUACAGGGUCUCGCGGUUGCUUGCCAUAACCCCAGCUCUUAAGGUUGACCUCGGAUCAGGUAGGGAUACCCGCUGAACUUAA
rnacentral:misc_RNA from 1 species